ensembl:lncRNA
AGAGAGGCACUGCACUAAUAAAUGUGGAAGAAUGCCAGCUCUGUGGAAAUAUUGACAGGUCUGGUGUAAAAUUCAGUUUUUCCAAUACCACUCCAACUAAACAGAAUGAAUGGAACAUUAGACUCUCAGGGCCUGUGGCUGCAGGUACAUCACUCACUGAACACCUUCCCAGCUAUGCAGCUAAGGGGCGAAGGCCGAUGUUCUGCUUAAAAUCACAAGCCUACCAGCACUUCUUCUGCAGCAGGUUCUCUCUGCAUUAUUUUUUGCUGAGAUGAAUUUACCCACCAUGCCAUGCUGACCACCCUUUGAUGAGAGCUGUCCUGCCAUCACCUAGCAGUCUGAGCACAACAAACCAUGCAACAGCGAUACAGAUCCCUAUGACAAAGUUGUUCUCACUCGAGGAUGGUGUUUCAUAUGGUGCAUUUGUUUCCUGGUGAAUCUGCGUGCUCUGCUCCCUCUGCAAUAUUCAUUAACACAGAUACUUCUAUUCUCGAAGAGCUCGUGAAAAUAUGAAGAUGACUAGGGGAAGAGAUCCCAUACAUUUUGGAUGAAGAACACACUGAAGAGUUAAUAUAAGAGUCGUGUGGCGUAAGAGACUCCACACUGGACACAGCAAGAUCUUUCAUACAUGGUCAGAGCUCAUAGCCAACCAGAAGAUAAGUAUCUGCUGGUUUUAGUAGUUCAAGUGCUCAAAAAUUAAAUAUUUAGAAAGCACAGUAAUAGAUUCUGUAGAAGAAUUGGGUAAAUCUAAGUAACUACCUGCCCUCCCAUGUCCUCUUGAGAUCCACAUGAUGUGGAGUCCAUUACUUGGGAGCCUCUCUGGCCCAGUCAGGUCAUCAGGCUGGCAGCACUUCCCAUUUGCCUCUGAGCAGUUUUACUCUUUGGCAGCCAAUACCCAGUCACAGAGAUAUUCCUUACAGUGAAAGCAAAUCAUCAUCUUUUUUCCUCAACUUUCCUCAAUAGAUCACUUUUAAAAAAAAGACAAGCUUGUAUAUACAGAAUUUUUAAUUUAUCACUGGUGACAAUUUAUUGCCCUUCAUGACAGUCUCUUAACACAUAAUAGUUGGACAUUUCCUUUCAUCAAGAAAGAAAAAUGACCAUAAAUGGUUCUGUUUCUUUAAAACUACUGUGGUAUUUGACUGUUGCAUUUCACAGGCACGAGGAAGCACAUUUGAAACAAAAAUAAUAAUAUACUCUGGUGGAAUAUUUCCAUGUCUGUGUGUUUAAAGUCUGUGACAUGAACUCAGUGAUCUGCAAGACCUUGUCCAGGAGAUCACAGAUUCACCACUACUUUACAGUUUGACACCACUGUUCUUUCUCAACUGCUAAAAUGCAGCAGUCCCUGUCUGGGGUAUUAUUUAGAGUACUCUAAAUCAAGAACUAAUCUGUGCAACAAGAAAUGUCACCACAAUUUGUUUUAUUUGGAAUGAUCAUAAGGCCAAAAGAUAAAAUUUCUACAUAGGUGCAUAUAUCAUAUUUUAGAAAUAGGCCUUUGAGUGCAUUAUGGAAAUAUGUGGUUGGUACCCACAGGAGAAGGAACUUAAUAAUUAAAAAGAAGCUUAGCUGAAAACAUGGAAAUCCUUUAAUUAACUUGUAUGAUAUAAUGUACCUCUUAGCUGCCUUUCAACUCUUCAGCUGGAAUUAGGUGCAGAAUCUGGCAGGUAAUGCGGGACUCUGCCAAUGUUUUAAGUCCCCUUUGUGAGGGAGAUCAAAAGUAAAAAAGAUUGCAAUUAAGAUAUCAUGAUGUGUUCUGAAGAUAUGUGAGAGUGUCUUCAGAACAACAGUUUUGCAGAGCUGCCAGGUGCCUUUGUUCCUAGGUGUUUAUGAUCAUCAUUGUUGUUCCAUCAUCACAAUAGGGUGAAUGCUAUAGAUAAGAUUGCAAGUAUAUAAGGUAUUGCUAUUUAUAUGCACAUCGUGUUGUCUUAUUACAGGUGCAUGCGACUUCUUACUAAGCCAGGGGAAAAGAAAAGCCAGCAUUACUCCUUAGUCCUAUUAAUUAGAAUUAGAGAAUGAAUUAGUUAUAUUUAUUAAAGUCCAAACUUCUGCAAGAAGGCUUUUUGUCGGUGUGCUUAAUCUGAACAUAAUUAAUGGAACAGUAUAUUAAGCAAAUUAAUAUUUGGAGAUAAUUUUAUAAUUUUCAGUACAUAUUUCAAGCAAACUCUUUCAAUUCUCAUCAUCAUCAACAGUGCGAUGUCCCUGGCUGAAGCAAGGAAACAGCUGCUCAGUGUACUUUAUUUUAGAAUUAAUGACUAACUUUUACCGCCCUACUCUUGUUCCCAGAGGUGGAAUAACCCUUUCCCUAGAAUUUUUCAGUGUUUAUCUUAUUGCUUAGGAUAGUUAAAGGGAAAAUGCCUUUUUCGCUUGUGAGCUGGCUCAAGAACACAGUCAGCUGGCCAGGUUGGUUCAAGCCAGACUAUAUUUCAUGCAACAAAAUCUACGAGACCAAAAUCAAUGUUUAAGAAUUGCUAUUAAUAUCUAUCAUUCAUUCAUGCCUUUAUUAAUUACUUCUCUCUCUUCAAUACAUUUAAAGGAAAUCACCACAUUUGAAUAUACUUCCCUGCUCCCCUCUCCUCUGUUUGCCAUAACUCUGCAACUUUGCAGCCUCGGCAGCAGGGCGAGGACAGGAAUCCUGCCAAGGAGCAUUGGGAUAAUUGGAGAUGCUGAACAGGAGAAGGAAGGUUGCACCAUGACCAAGUCAUACCGCUUCCUCCUUUCCUUCUGUCCUUCAUUGCUCAGUAUAGUCUUCUGCUUGCUGGUUUAUAAAGGAGAGGAUCUGCUCAUGAAAAAAUUUUCAUGUGGAAAGCUACACCAAGCAAUUUCUUGAGACUCAGACUGCAUUUCAUUUACAGAAAUGCCAAGGUUGCUAUUGCAUCAAUACUUCUCAGUAGUACACUUUAUUAGGCCCCACCUGUGAAGUGGAAAGGAAUAAGAUUAUUGAAGAAAGCUUGCUUUUACUUGACAGGUUUUCAAGUAACAGAUCUAAUUAUCAUGCCAUAAACUGACAAUUUCAUGGGAUAAUCCUCUGAUAAAUACUGUGUUAGAGCCAACACAUUUUCUCAUUAAGGCAAUUGGAACGGAAAAAGUAUUUUCCUUGCCAUGGGCACAUUAGAACAUGGUCAGGCAGGAGCUAUGAAAAAAACAGGUGGCAACUUUAUUAUAGUUACAGAUAACAUGUUCAACUUCAGACACGGAACCGGAGAACAAUUCCUGCAGGCAGCUACCAUCCAUGGCUUUCUGCAACAGCGUCACUUUAGCAGGGCCACAUGACAAUAUGGUUUUGUUGGUGCUAUGUGUUUUUAUCUAUGUACGUACCCAAUAUUUUAUAAUUUGAACCUUUUUGGUUUCAACCUUACUUGAAAUGAAUAAAUGUUUUUCAGAUACUUCUAUUCCUGAAGAGCUCGUGAAAAUAUGAAGAUGACUAGGGGAAGAGAUCCCAUACAUUUUGGAUGAAGAAUACACUGAAGAGUGUAUGCAAGAGUUGUAUGGCGUAAGAGACUCCACACUGGACACAGCAAGAUCUUUCAUACAUGGUCAGAGCUCAUAGCCAACCAGAAGAUAAGAAUCUGCCAUCUACUAAAGCUUUUACUUUGUCAAUGUCAAGAAAUAAAAAAAGUAUACACAUAGAGGAGACAGAUACUGAUAGAAAAAGGGCAAUAUUCUGGGUGAUACAACAUUAGAACUGCAGGAGGCCAUAGCAUAGGAGACUAAAAGUUUUGCCACAGACUUCCUGAGGUGAUAUAGUCCGAAUCUUCUUCAAUGCUGAUUCCAUCACCCGCUGGUAUUUGUAUAAUAUGGAACUUUUCAAACGAAACAUUAGCAAUGUUUUAAAGGACUAUGUGUGAAUGUAGUCUCCUCUCUUGUUAUUGCUGUCCAGUUGAGCUGCUUCUGUUGAAGAAGCUCAAGAAGGACCUGUCCAUACAGGUUUUCACCUGAAGGUGUAGGCUGUUGAGCAGGACUGUGCUGUGAAAUACUAAUAAACUGUAUAUAUUUAAAAUUGUGGUACUAUUCUAGUUCUAAAGUAUCUUUGACCCUCAAUCUGUUCACACCACUUUUGGAUGCAUCACUUGUGGUUUCUCUGUGAAACAAUAUACUUGUCUGUGAAUUGGUAUUAUUAAUAUGUAACUCACACUGGUAUGUUAGUUCAAUUAUAUUAUUGUUGGUGAGCAAAGAUUUAUUGGGCAAUUUGAGAAAGCAUCCUUUUUAACCACAUAGCACUCAUAUAAGCCAGUUUUUAUAUUCAGAGCCAUGUCCCAUCAGGACAAGAAUGUGAAAAUGAAUUCAGAUGUCAUGCUGUUGGUAUGGUUCAAAUGAGGAGUGUUCUGACAUCUCACAUAGCCAGCUGGAUAACUGCAAGGUGCAGGUGUUUCCAAGAAUACCUGGCAUGGCUUAUGAACACUGGACUAUUUAGCCUCAGGCUUCCUGACCAAAAUACUCUCCUAACACUGUGUCAAGAUGAGAAGCACAUCAACUCAUAGAAUAAUUCUUAAAUGUUACUAUGUCAGACAGUGGCAACUUCUUGAAGAACCUACUGAUAACUAUAGGGGAGAAAGAAAAAUCCCAAGAGAAGGUGACUGUAUAUAAGCAUGUCAAGUGUCAAUCUUAUAUACAUAAGACAUUCCUUUGGAUCGUUUCUUUACAGUAAGUUGGCAGUGCUUCUGGACUGAGAACUGUGUUUUCCUGUUGCUAGCAGUUGCCAUGAAUUUACUGGAAGCACUGACUCAUGCUUAAUUAGUGGUGCCUUGGCUUAUUUUUAUACUGUUUUUAUGUAUUUGGAGUAUAUGCUAUUUUUAAGGCACAUAUUGUUCUUCUAAAUAUGUCAUUGUAAUACGGCAUAAUGAUUUUUACGAUAUUGAAAUUCAAAGAAAAUAUCUUUUCAAUAUCUUGUUUUGACUUAAUUCCAAGCAGACAAAUCUAUGGAUGAUAAGCUUUCUUCAUAUAAGUCAGUUAAUCAAGUAAUGGAUUGCCUGUUAUCUAAUACAUGGAUUUGGCUCCUAAAUUUCUCAGAGAUAAUGAAAUGAUACCGACUAAUAUGAUUGCACAGCUCUUUGCAUUGAAAAAAGUCAACAUUUAUUUUCCAUCUGAAGGGAGAGCAGGAAAGUGUUAAUGUCUUAAAACCAUGACAAAUCUCAGUGGAAAACACCUUUGCUUGUAGUGUUUGUUCACCACAUGGUGCAUGCCUCAGAGGGUGUUAAAUCAGCAAAACUGCUGAAUUUGAAAUAUAGGGAACAUUUAUCUGCCUCUGAAUUCAGUUAUGCUAUGUGCAAAGAUCCUGAAUAGAAUCUGAUAGUAUAACAGCAAUGUAGAAUUGCAUAUUAAACAUACCUAACCUGUCAUUAAAAACCUCUAAUUACAGCCAUCAGAUGAGUCCUUGUGCUGCUACUUGUCAUGUUAGAUGUAUACAUCAUUUUAAUGGAAGAAGAUAGUAUUUCUGAUUAUGUCGCUUAAUGUACAAUAUAUGAAAGUUAUGGGCCUGAACCUGUUCCCAUGGAGGUCAAUGACAGUUUUGCCAUUGUCUUCAAUUAGAGCAGGAUGUGGCUUUAUGACACUAGAUAUUCAUUUGCAUUAAUUAAUUUACUUAGUAGGUAAUGAAAAACUCGAAAAAACAGCCCUCUGGCUCAUGAGUCUGGCAUUGUGCUUAAUACUCUCAUUAGGAAUAAUUGCACUGAUAAACUUUUAAGCAGAAACAGUUAAGAUGGAUCAGUGUAAAAUCAAGCUUAUCAGCAGUUGACUGAGCCUACCUUCUAUGUUACAACCUCGUCUGCUUUUAUUCUUCUCUGACUGGGAUGUAGAAUCUUUAAUGCUUAGUAGUGUAGAUGAAAGUGUGAUCUUUUCAAACUUUAUGGAUUUAUAUAUUUUAUAUAUCAUGAAGGUACUGGCUCAGCAAAUGCCAUAGAACUGGCAGCUGAGUUUUUGGGUCUGCAAUCUCACUGAGGAAGGCAAGGAUAGAUAGGUAAUGAGAUACAGUGGGCAGAUAGGUAAUGAGAUACAGUGGUUCUUUCAUAUCAUGGUUGGAGCUGGAGCAACAUAUGUGGGAAUAUCCAUAUAGAAAUUGCUAAAUGUAAACACAGCUCUUUGGAACUAAGCUCCUAUAGUGUGCUUUGAUUUCUAAAAUCAAAAAUAAUACAUCAGUCUCCCAAGUUUUUUCAUUUUUAAGCUGAUAGCAGUACCUAUUAUGCUAGCAGCAGUCUUAUGUCUGAGAAAAAUAAGAGGCUGUGAAAAUGGUGACGGAGCCAAACUAGCAGGAAUGCACUAUGACAACCAGUAAGCCAUAGGGGAUGUAUGUGAGUUCUAAAAUAUGCAGUCUGGGACUGAAGAAUUAGAAGGAAUUGAUACAUACCACCCUGCACAGAAAGGUUAGGAAUCAAAUGAUCUUCCAGUGAGCUAACAGUGGCUGGAGGACUUCAUUCUCACUUGCUGAAGGGGUGGAAUGUGGGUUUCUAUGAGCUGGUUGAGUUUAGCAUUCUGUGUCAUCUUGGCAAAAUGACUUCUACUUCUGGAUGCUAUUUCUACAGCCUGGGGACAAUGACUUCUCUUUACCUUGUAAGGUUUUUGGUUGUGUUGGCUUUGUAAGGUAUUUGGCUAUCUGUGUGUUGAGAACCAUAAAGUACCCACAUCAAUUGAAAACCCGUCAGUCAGAGCUUGAAAACUCAUCAGUCUCUGUAUUUGGAGCUUUUUAUUAGAUUAAGAAAAAAAAAAAAGUGAGACAAUAUUAGCUUGGGGUCUGCUUGCCUCCUUUAGCAUAUUGCUGUGACUGCCUUGGAAUAUUUUUAGCCAGGCAUGCUGUAGUUUAUGGACAUUAUUGUAGAAAUACUUGCUGAGAAAAGCUGUUUCAUUAAUUGGGUAGUCUCACUGUAAACCAUGUGAUAUCCCAGAAGACACUUUAUAAAUAAAGU